UUUCCUGUGUACUCAGACUGAAGCAGACUUUGCACUUCUCUAGCUGCGGGCUGUCCGGAUGCUGGAACUCAAAGGGCUGGAAGACGCAGAGAACAGAAGCCCAAACCCAAAGGUUGCACACUCACGUGGGCACGCAAACCCGCAGAUUUUAUGAGCUCAUGAAUAAACGUGAAAAGGAUGCGAGGCUGGCGACAAAGACUGAAGAGGGGAAUGAAUCAGCGCGCCUGCCUUCGGCAGACACUCUCCCCUGCCUAUGGGAUCGGCUCACUGCUCUGCAUGAAGACUGGACCACAGUUAUGUGUGACAUGGCGCUGAACAAUUCCCAUCCGAGGCAACGGACUAGGAAUGCUGCUCAGCCCACGGUGCAACAAAAAUGUAUGAAAUCGCAUUAGCAGAAAAACAAGAUUUCUGGGUCUUAUCACAGAAAGGCUUUUGCACCUCCUAGACGAAUGUUCACCUCUAAUUGAACAAGUGUUACCGUCUUUAUUCCUACCUGAAAGUGCCUUUUACAAGUCAUAAUUAAACGCAGGUUCUUUAUAAUCCCAUCAUGAUGGGAUCUUUAGCGCCUGAAUGCCCUGUUCAUUAGCAGGAUAUUUAGGGCUUUUUUUUUUUUUCAGGGCUUAAUUUGACUACAAUUCAUUUGCAUGCCCUGAAUAUGCAUUUUAAAUCUGAACAAGAACUCCAUUUAGCGGCUUUCUAAAACAAGUUCUGCAAGGCAGGAGUCUACAAUCCUAGCAAAACAAACACUGCAUAAGACUCCAUCUGUGGUUGAAAGGAAAAAAUAUCUCAGCAGCAGGGAAAAUAAAAAUAAGAAACCCAUCAGGCAUUCUCCAGAUGAAUAUUGAAAAGUGUUAAGAGAGUAGACAAUUAAGAAUGGCAAUUUUCAAAACUUGAUGUCUUACCACGAGAAUGCCCCUGGUAGGAAAGUUCUGCGGAACUUUAGGGGACCGGUCAUUUCUCAGACGCUGUGGUAGACAGCACCCACCACACAACAGACUUCGGGCCUAUGAGAGGCUUAAAGGGGUUAAGUUGGUUAAAAUUCAGUACUGCUUUGAUGAGAAAACAUUAUGCGUUCUACUCGCUGGCUGUUACAUUUGGAAAGCUUUUAGGUAGAACAGUUAAUUUAGCAGACCCAACAAGCUCAAACACGAAGUUAUUAAAUGAUAGGAAGUUUGUAAAAGAGACGCUUCUUGCGAUGUAAGUGUGGUGGACCGGACUUCUGCCCCGACUCGCCCCACCACCCCCGGCACCCCACCCCACCCCACCCCAUCUAACCCCGCUCCCCGAGAAGACUGAUUCUUUCUUCAAUUGAUCCUUGCUCAUAAAGGGCCAGAAGCAAGCAAAUGACUUCUGAGGCUAGUCUAGCACUAUGACUGUUAGUUCUCUGCCUCUCCGAAGGAUUCUCAGGCACCUGGACAAUUCCAGGGACAAUUCCAGAGCCCCAGGUUUCUUAGGCAAAGAGGUUGGCUAGCUGCUUGUUGGCCUGGAUUCCUUCAACUGUAAAAUCCUUCACUUCUCUUCAGAGAAUAAAAGUGUGACCCUUGGGGGAAA